UACGUAGGCAGCGAGCGUUGUUCGGAGUUACUGGGCGUAAAGGGUGUGUAGGCGGCCUAUUAAGUUUGGUGUGAAAUCUCCCGGCUCAACCGGGAGGGUGCGCCGAAAACUGGGAGGCUAGAGUGCGGGAUGGGAGAGUGGAAUUCCUGGUGUAGCGGUGAAAUGCGUAGAUAUCAGGAGGAACACCGGUGGUGUAGACGGCUUUCUGGACCGUAACUGACGCUGAGACACGAAAGCGUGGGUAGCAAACAGG
rnacentral:rRNA from 1 species